rnacentral:tRNA from 1 species
CUCCCUAUAGCUUAAUGGUAGAGCGGUCGGCUGUAACCCGAUAGAUACUGGUUCGAUUCCAGUUGGGGAGA